UAGGGAAUCUUCGGCAAUGGACGGAAGUCUGACCGAGCAACGCCGCGUGAGUGAAGAAGGUUUUCGGAUCGUAAAGCUCUGUUGUUAGAGAAGAACGUUGGUAGGAGUGGAAAAUCUACCAAGUGACGGUAACUAACCAGAAAGGGACGGCUAACUUCGUGCCAGCAGCCGCGGUAAUACGUAGGUCCCGAGCGUUGUCCGGAUUUAUUGGGCGUAAAGCGAGCGCAGGCGGUUCUUUAAGUCUGAAGUUAAAGGCAGUGGCUUAACCAUUGUACGCUUUGGAAACUGGAGGACUUGAGUGCAGAAGGGGAGAGUGGAAUUCCAUGUGUAGCGGUGAAAUGCGUAGAUAUAUGGAGGAACACCGGUGGCGAAAGCGGCUCUCUGGUCUGUAACUGACGCUGAGGCUCGAAAGCGUGGGGAGCAAACAGG
rnacentral:rRNA from 1 species